rnacentral:rRNA from 1 species
GACGAACGCUGGCGGCGUGCUUAACACAUGCAAGUCGAACGGAAAGGCCCUGCUUUUGUGGGGUGCUCGAGUGGCGAACGGGUGAGUAACACGUGAGUAACCUGCCCUUGACUUUGGGAUAACUUCAGGAAACUGGGGCUAAUACCGGAUAGGAGCUCCUGCUGCAUGGUGGGGGUUGGAAAGUUUCGGCGGUUGGGGAUGGACUCGCGGCUUAUCAGCUUGUUGGUGGGGUAGUGGCUUACCAAGGCUUUGACGGGUAGCCGGCCUGAGAGGGUGACCGGCCACAUGGGGACUGAGAUACGGCCCAGACUCCUACGGGGGGCAGCAGUGGGGAAUAUUGCACAAUGGGCGGAAGCCUGAUGCAGCAACGCCGCGUGCGGGAUGACGGCCUUCGGGUUGUAAACCGCUUUCGCCUGUGACGAAGCGUGAGUGACGGUAAUGGGUAAGGAAGCACCGGCUAACUACG